CGGAAUNACUGGGCGUAAAGCGUGCGCAGGCGGUCCGCUAAGACAGAUGUGAAAUCCCCGGGCUUAACCUGGGAACUGCAUUUGUGACUGGCGGGCUAGAGUAUGGCAGAGGGGGGUAGAAUUCCACGUGUAGCAGUGAAAUGCGUAGAGAUGUGGAGGAAUACCGAUGGCGAAGGCAGCCCCCUGGGCCAAUACUGACGCUCAUGCACGAAAGCGUGGGGAGCAAACAGGAUUAGAUACCCUGGUAGUCCACGCCCUAAACGAUGUCAACUAGUUGUUGGGGAUUCAUUUCCUUAGUAACGUAGCUAACGCGUGAAGUUGACCGCCUGGGGAGUACGGUCGCAAGAUUAAAACUCAAAGGAAUUGACAGGA
rnacentral:rRNA from 1 species